CCUACGGGAGGCAGCAGUGAGGAAUAUUGGUCAAUGGCCGGAAGGCUGAACCAGCCAAGCCGCGUGAAGGACGAAGGUGCCAAGCAUUGUAAACUUCUUUUGUCAAGGGACAAAAUCAGGCUCGAGAGCCUGACCGAGGGUACUUGAAGAAAAAGCAUCGGCUAACUCCGUGCCAGCAGCCGCGGUAAUACGGAGGAUGCGAGCGUUAUCCGGAUUUAUUGGGGUUAAAGGGUGCGUAGGCGGACUGUUAAGUCAGCGGUAAAAGCCCGGGGCUCAACCCCGGCGAGCCGUUGAAACUGGCUGUCGUGAGAUGUCGAGAGGUAUGCGGAAUGCGUGGUGUAGCGGUGAAAUGCAUAGAUAUCACGCAGAACUCCGAUUGCGAAGGCAGCAUACCGGCGCUCAACUGACGCUCAUGCACGAAAGCGUGGGUAUCGAACAGGAUUAGAUACCCUUGUAGUC
rnacentral:rRNA from 1 species